UACAAGUCGAACGGCAGCGCGGGGCAACCUGGCGGCGAGUGGCGAACGGGUGAGUAAUAUAUCGGAACGUACCCAAGAGUGGGGGAUAACGUAGCGAAAGUUACGCUAAUACCGCAUACGAUCCAUGGAUGAAAGUGGGGGAUUCGCAAGAACCUCAUGCUCCUGGAGCGGCCGAUAUCUGAUUAGCUAGUUGGUGAGGUAAAGGCUCACCAAGGCUACGAUCAGUAGCUGGUCUGAGAGGACGACCAGCCACACUGGAACUGAGACACGGUCCAGACUCCUACGGGAGGCAGCAGUGGGGAAUUUUGGACAAUGGGCGAAAGCCUAAUCCAGCAAUGCCGCGUGAGUGAAGAAGGCCUUCGGGUUGUAAAGCUCUUUUGUCAGGGAAGAAACGGUGGGGGCUAAUAUCCCUCGCUAAUGACGGUACCUGAAGAAUAAGCACCGGCUAACUACGUGCCAGCAGCCGCGGUAAUACGUAGGGUGCGAGCGUUAAUCGGAAUUACUGGGCGUAAAGCGUGCGCAGGCGGUGAUGUAAGACCGAUGUGAAAUCCCCGGGCUCAACCUGGGAACUGCAUUGGUGACUGCAUUGCUCGAGUAUGGCAGA
rnacentral:rRNA from 1 species